GCUGAGAAAAACAAUGCAGGAAACAGGAAGUGAGUCAAACGUGUGUGUUUGUUUCAUGUGAGGAAGGUUUGUGGAGGAAACAGCUGACUGGUCAUCAAAGUUCAUGUCUUGUUCCAAAAUGUAUCAGAUACAUUCACGUCUUUCAGUCCCAGGAACACAGUUGUUAAUGUCAUCUUAACACUCAGAUGUGUACAGGCAGAGUGUGAUGGUGUGGACCUGCUGGAUCAUCAUCAUCAUCAUCAUCAUGAGGAACAGACAUAUUCACCUCCAGCUCCAGGGAUAUUCGAUGUGGCCGCUUCCAGGCCUACCGCAAAGCGCAGCAGCAGACACGACUUUCCGACUCCAGAGUCACCAAUCAGAAGAAGUUUGAACAGUUCUGUGGUGAGCUGACAGCACCGUGCCUCUGCUCAUGAAUGACAUGACCUCCAACCAACAGCGCGUCCCGUGCGUCAUACGUCACUGGACCGACCGCAGUGCUGAAACUUCCAAACAAACAGGAAGUAGUUCUGCUGCAACCAUCCAAGGAGCUAUAAAUAAAAGAGCAGCACGUCAGCUGCUGUGGCAGAGACACUGACAUCAAAGAUGCUUUACGAUCUGAGAGAUGUGAACAAAAUACCUGUAUCACAGUCUUUGAUCACAGGGAAUGCUGGUCCGGAGUUUCAAUCUAAGAUUUCUGAUUCAAGCACAAACCGGGGAAUUUAAACCUGCAUGACUGUGCACUGUGAGACAGGAGUGAGAGUGAACCCAAACACUGUUAAAUGAACUACUGAUCAAUUUAAAGCAUGAUCUCUGUUAACAGAUAUCUGCAAAGUGAUGCACAAUCUGUAGGAGACCGAAGGUGUUGUGGUUUCCAUCUGUAGUCUGUGUAGCGUUGACCAGAGGUGGAAGGGACAAAAUAUAACCUCCAAACCUCCAAAGUGAUUUAUUUUUUUUGUUAGGUUUCCUUCACUCAUAUGCAGCUAUCCAUUUAAAGAGAUCAUUACGGUUUCUUGUCAUGCAAUGCAGCGUGCCAACAUGCUGAUCAGUGUCUUCAAGGAAGGGAACAAGGAAACAUCUCCUCCUUCUAAGCAACAAGCUAAAAGCUGUCACACAUACCCACUUUACACUGCUUCUGAGAGACUGAUUGUCUUUGAAUGACUUCUUUAAUUUUCUCUCCUCCUGAGGAUGCUUAAUGCUCACACAUACACACUCUUUCAAAGAUAAUGGCACCCAUGCACAGAGCCACUCAAACACAAAGUGCACUGCUCCUUGUUAUUAUCCAACACACUCCAGUGAUGUGGUUGAUUAUUCCUCUAAUGCGUGCUGAGUACUUCUUCUCAUGGCUGUGUGUCAGUGUGAUAUGAUAUGACAGUUUAAUGGAGCUGUUCAUUCUCAGCUCUCUCGCACACAACUGAUUAUUUAUCACCGAUUGAGGAUUUACUGAUAUUAAUGUGAAGGCUUCUUUGGGGACUAUAACACUGAUGUCAAUAAGGAAUAUUGUAAAAGUAAAAACAGAUAUUAGUCGAGUCACACUAAUGCAGACGCAUGUAAUGGACAUUCAAUAUUCAAUAUAAUCUGUAUAUAUAACAGUGAAACCACACAGCAAAAACAUAACGUGUGAUAUUAUGUAACCUCUGAUUAGCAUAUUUUCUUGACUUCUUCGUUCAUCACGGCAGCCUGUGGUGUGAAAGGGGAACGGACACCUUCACAAUAAAA